rnacentral:rRNA from 1 species
UACGUAGGGUCCGAGCGUUGUCCGGAUUUAUUGGGCGUAAAGAGCUCGUAGGCGGCUCGGUAAGUCGGAUGUGAAAACUCGGGGCUCAACCCCGAGACGCCAUCCGAUACUGCUGUGGCUUUGAGUCUGGUAGGGGAGAACGAAUUCCUGGUGUAGCGGUGAAAUGCGCAGAUAUCAGGAGGAACACCGGUGGCGAAGGGCGGUUCUCUGGGCCAGUACUGACGCUGAGGAGCGAAAGCGUGGGUAGCAAACAGG